CCCCCGUUGUGCAUCUGCUGUUCCUGCCUUGGCUUGAUAUUCUGUCCACAACCUGUUCCCAGCUGUUUCCCAGCACAGCACCCUGAACGGCAUAGAUGCGUUUAACUGAACAGCAGUAGCUCUGUGAACUUAACAAAGAACACUGAGCAGUCAGGAUCGUUGCAUUGUUACAUUGGCGCUCCUUUUUGUUAAUGCUUCGAUCCCAUCGUAAUCUUACGGAGGACUUUCCUGUGUCUUUGGCUCUCCGAAUAACCUUGUGAAGGCGAUAGAGCAGAGUGACUCCUUGACCAAAUAAUUUUGAAUCGCUUGUAACUUUUCACCCUUGCAACUAAGUCCGUUAAUCACAAAAUGGUAAAUCAGAAGCCACAAAGAAGAACAUCAUCCAGGAAACUGGGG